ensembl:lncRNA
UAGUAUAUGACAGUAGUAGGUGAUAGGUGUAGGCAACAGUAGUAGGCGAUAGUUGUAGGCGAUAGUUGUAGGUGAUAGUAGUAGGUGAUAGUAGUAGGUGAUAGUAGUAGGUGAUAGUAGUAGGUGAUAGCAGUAGGUGAUAGUAGUAGGUGAUAGUAGUAGAUGAUAGUAGUAGAUGAUAGUAGUAGGUGAUUGUAGUUGAUGAAUGUAGAAGAUGAUUGUAGUAGGUGAUAGUAGUAGAAGACACUGGUAAAUGACAGAAGUAAGUGAUAGUAGUAGAUGAAAGUUGUAGGUGAUUGUAGCAGGUGAUAGAAGCAGAUGAUAAUUGUAGGUGAUAGUAGUAGGUGAUAGCAGUAGGUGAUUGUAGUAGGUGAUAGUAGUAGAUGAUAGUAGUAGAUGAUAGUUGUAGGUGAUAGUCGUAGAUGAAAGUUGUAGUUGAUUGUAGCAGGUGAUAGAAGCAGAUGAUAGUUGUAGGUGAUAGUAGUAUAUGAUAGUAGAAUGUGAUAGUAGUAGAUGAUAGUAGUAGGUGAUUGUAGCAGGUGAUAGAAGCAGAUGAUAGUUGUAGGUGACAGUAGUAGAUGAUAGUCCUAGGUGAUAGUAGUUGGUAAAAGUAGUAGAUGAUAGUAGUAGAUGAUAGUAGAAGGUGAUAGUAAGUACAUGAUAGUAGGUUAUUGUAGCAGGUGAUAGAAGCAGAUUAUAGUUGUGGGUGAUAGUAGUAUGUGAUAGUAGUAGGUGAUAGAAAUAGAAGAUAGUAGUAGAUGAUAGUAGUAGGUGAUAGUAGAAGGUGAUAGUUGUACGUGAAAAUGGUAGGUGAAAGUAGUAGUUGAUAGUAGUAGGUGGUUGUAGUAGGUGAUAGAAAUAGAUGAUAGUAGUAGGUGAUAGUAGUAGGUGACAGUAGCAGAUGAUAGUUGUAGGUGAUAGUAGUAGGUAAGAGAAGUAGAUGAUAGAAUUAGCUGAUAGUAGUAGAUGAAAGUAGUAGGUGAUAGUGGUAGGUGAUAGUAGUAGAUGACAGUAGUAGAUGACAGUGAUAAGUGAUAGUACUACAUGAUAUUAGUAGGUGAUAGUAGAUGAUAGUAGUAGGUGAUAGUUGUACGUGAAAAUGGUAGGUGAUAGUAGUAGGUGAUAACACUAUAUGAUAAUAGAAGGUGAAAGUAGUGGUUGAUAGUAGUAGAUGAUAGUCGUAGGUGAUGGGUGU